GAUGAACGCUGGCGGCGUGCCUAAUACAUGCAAGUCGAGCGAAUGGAUUAAGAGCUUGCUCUUAUGAAGUUAGCGGCGGACGGGUGAGUAACACGUGGGUAACCUGCCCAUAAGACUGGGAUAACUCCGGGAAACCGGGGCUAAUACCGGAUAACAUUUUGAACCGCAUGGUUCGAAAUUGAAAGGCGGCUUCGGCUGUCACUUAUGGAUGGACCCGCGUCGAAUUAGCUAGUUGGUGAGGUAACGGCUCACCAAGGCAACGAUGCGUAGCCGACCUGAGAGGGUGGUCGGCCACACUGGGACUGAGACACGGCCCAGACUCCUACGGGAGGCAGCAGGAGGGAAUCUUCCGCGAUGGACGAAAGUCUGACGGAGCAACGCCGCGUGAGUGAUGAAGGCUUUCGGGUCGUAAAACUCUGUUGUUAGGGAAGAACAAGUGCUAGUUGAAUAAGCUGGCACCUUGACGGUACCUAACCAGAAAGCCACGGCUAACUACGUGCCAGCCGCCGCGGUAA
rnacentral:rRNA from 1 species